AUUUGUUGAACUCUACUUUGAUUGAUUAGUUAUAAUUAUUGCAAGAAUGAGGUUCGCAAUGAUAUUUAUUUGCACCCUGGUGAUUCUUCAGGUGUUUUGGUUGGCCCUAGUGGAGGGAAGAAUCAAAUCGAUAAAACCCCUUCGUGAUUGUUCAGAUUUUCAUAAGAAGUGGUGGUGUCGAAGAAACACCGAUACUAUAAUAUGAAAAAUGAGGGAUGGCGAUCACGUAUCAAACCGCCCUGAUGGAUUUUCGAUCAACAUAUUUUUCCUAGAAUUUCUUUAAUUUAAUUUUCAGUAUAUAUUAUCAGAAUGGAAUUUAUCUAGCUAUAUUAGCAAGUAGAUCCCAAUAAUAAAGUAUAUCGAGUAUAAAUGUGA